CUCGCUCCACCAAAGACAAGACAGGAAGAGAAAGAGACAGAGAUGGACUUCCACCCAAUUUAUAUCCUGUCUACGUCAUCACGUAACAACAGGAAAAACAAACCCAGUGGCUUUUGGAAGAAGAAGCACCUACCCUCUCUGUGGAGUUCAGAGCCAGGAUUGGAGGAAGCCUUGCCUUCAUCUCUUGACUGGGCAGCUGCUAGACUACUCCAGCUCAUAGCUUUUUGGGACCAGAACUUUGUCUGCUAGGCUGACACAUAGAGGUAGAGCUUAGACCUCUGCUGUUUCAACUUGAUUGACUUCAAUAAGCAUCCAUUAAGCUUCUGUUGCCUGCCAAAUACUAGGCACCAGGGACCAGGAAUCUUUACCUGUUGGAUGAGGAAAAUCUUUCUCCCAACGCAGGUUGACACUCAAUCUGCAACUUAUAGCCUUAGGGCUGAGAUUUUUUCUCCUCAGAAGGAUCUGUGGACAGAUUUCAAGGCAUCUGUGAACUUGGAUGCUGGGAGCAUCUACUCUACAUGCAGACAUAUCCUAAGGACUGUGAGAGAGACAGAGAAAGAGCAGAAGCCCAGGCCUGUCUUCAGAGAGCUCAGUCUGGGGGAGGCCAAAGAAGUGAAUCUAAAGUCCUCCAAACCCUUCGAUACUCAUAAGGUCCUCCAUUGGCCAAAGGAGGGGAGGCCAGAUUCCAUUCAAUUAUACAAACAUUUAUUGAGGAACUACUAAAUGUAGAGCACUCUGCUUUGGAUGGAGGAAGGAUCCAAACUUCACCAAAGACGGGAUACUUACCCUUGUAGGGAUUAUACUCUAGGAGAUGGAGAAGACAGAAAUGCUGAAAAUGGUAUACAUAAUGUUCUAUUGCAAACCAUUAAAGAAAUACAAACAACGUGCUAUGUAAGGAUCAAGAGGGAGUUGUUACUGAUGGGGGCUCAAGGAAAGCUUCUUGGAAGCCAUGGUGUUAGAGUUGGGUUUUAAAGAGUGGGCAAGAGUUUCACAGACCACAUGAGAGUAGGAAGGUGUUCUUUCCAGGCAUAAACUAUAAACAUUCUGGGG
rnacentral:lncRNA from 1 species